rnacentral:lncRNA from 1 species
UACGCUGAGCCAUUCCCAAAGCAACUACCCCUCUGCCGCGGCGCCAACCACCGGAAACGGAUCCAACCUCACUAGCACUAACGCUCGGAGUUUGCCACUCGCGGCCUACAGAUUCGUGCUCUUCAUAAGCUAGGCCUGACCCGGAGCUUCUAAUCCAGCCUGGUCAAACAACAGCGGCGGCGCAUCCCAUUCCCGCUAUAUUUAAAUACUGGGUCCG